CUGGAGAGUGGGCUCUGGCUUCGACACGCCCCCUGGGAACAGCGCCUUUUCGUUUCCUGACCAGUGCAGAGCCAGCAGAGCCGGUGACACCCCCACGCACUGCAGGCAGAGGAUGGUGGGACAGUCGGAGGAGGCUGCAAUGGGAUAUCGGACGUGACCCUCCCUCCUGCUUCUGGGCCAGGCAUCUGCUGGCACCCCAGACCCAAUCCCCUCUCUCUGCUGCCACCUGGGGACUGAGCUGUGACCCGCCGCUGUGGAGGUGGGGGCUCCCUCCCCAACCGUGUAUCAGGAGCAGGGUGGGCGCGGCAGGUUUGUUUCUGUCCAGCCAAGGUGGGUGGGGUGGGGUGUGCCAGGAGCCCACAGGCCCCCAGCCCAAACAAAUCAGAACAGCAGCAUAUGGUUGGCAGGGCCUUUGUUUGCCCAGAAGAAAGAUCUGGGAAGCUGCCAAGGUCCCAUCCUGGCCUGUCCCUGCCCAGCCUCAGAGCCUGGGGCAGCGGUCAGGUAGAAGGGCCUGGGCUGGAGACACCCUCAGUCAGUCUGGAGGAAGGGUCCCCAUGCUGCCCGGAAGCCAAGGUGCAGAGCAGAUGUUGGUGGCACAGUGCCGGUGAGGACUUCUGUGUCCAGGAUCCCCAGCAGGAGGUCAGCAGCCCAGGGACAGACAGCCUGGACCCAAGCACAGCCCUGCUCACUGCCUGGUUCUGUCAAGUCACAGCAUGGCUGUCCCCCUGUCCACAUGGAGAGCCCUAGCACACGGUGCUGGGGGAGCAGCAGAGGGCUCCUGGCUCCUGUCCACAGGGGCAAAGCCAGGCAGAGCUGCUUUGGCCAGGGAGUGUGGGUGCCCCAGGCCCCCAGCCCAAACAAAUCAGAACAGCAGCAUGUCCCCUGAGAAGUAGGGUACAGUUCAUGGGGCCUGGCUUCCCCAUAGGGGUUCCAGCUGAGGGGCUCUGCUGGGGUGGGCAGGAUGGAGCUAUGGAGGGCAGAUGUCACUGGUUGGCAGCAGUCUCUUGGCUGUGGGGUCUUCUAGGGGCCCACAGGAACAGGGGGACUUUCACCAGCAGGUGGGGCCUGAGCGCUUGCUGGGUCUGGCAGUGUGUGGUCCCUGGGCAGGUAGCCCCCAGGAGAGGCAGGAAUGGAGGGCAGAUCCUUGUAGCUGGGAAGCCACAGUGUGUGGUCUGGCCCCCGCCCCUCCCAGGAUGCUGGGGGAAGAUCCUCAACUCAGAUGACACCCUGCUGUCCCUCAGGCCCACCAUUCCUUCCUUGGGCUUCGUGGUACAGGUGAGGAGACCGAGGCUGUGGGGCUGGGCACUGAGCAUGGCAUGCGCCUUUCCUGUCACGGGGCAGCACAGUGUUCUGGCUGGGCCAGCCUCCCCCUCUGCAGAGCGGCCCGUGUGGGCCUUGCCGUGUUCAGCCAGCCUCAGGUCACCUGUGUUCUGGACUCUGGGCUGUGGCCUCGGCACCCCACCCCGCACACAGCCCCGGUCCAGCUGUCUGCCCUCCUCUGAGCUGCAGCUUGCCUCCUGCCCUGGGAGGCCUCUGGGCCACGCGGCUUCCCCCGCGCAGCCCACCUCCUCUCCUUUUGCCCACCUACCCAUCUUUUGACACUCUGUUCUCUCUCCCAGGAUAUGGGGUCCCAUCUGAGUUCCCCAAACCCAGUGAGGCUACCUCCCCAACUAGGCACAAGGACCAGGACCCAGGAGACCCGUCAGGGACUCACAGGCAAUUUUGAUUCCUUUUUAAAUCGGGAAAAGGCUGGGUGUGGGGGCACUCACCCGUAAUCCCAAAGACUCAGGAAGCUGAGGCAGGAGGCUAGCAAGUUUGACACCAGUCUGGGCAACAUAGCAAGACCCUGUCUUAAAAAAUAAAAAGGGUUGGGGAUGUGGCUCAGUGGUUAAGCACCCCUGGGUUCAAUCCUCAGUACAAAAAUAAUAACAAUAACAAUAAAAUCUGGGGGGGGGGCCUGAUCUUUCAGGGACAAUUAAGUGCUUUCAUAUGUAACAUUAAUAUACUUGUCUUUGUACCAACACAGCUGUAAAACGGGAUCGUCAAGAUGAGACGCCCAGCCAGGCACAGCCGAGCUCUUCCCACCCACGCCCACCGUGUGAUGUCACCCAGGGUGGGGGCCUUGCUGGACCGCCAGCCCUGGGGCUCUGAGGGUCUGGUCGCCCUGCUGAGGCAUGGGAGGAUGAGGGACCGCUCUCCAGGUCCUGUGGCGCUGAAGCCCCCAGGUGGCCCCCUGCUCUGCUGUCCUCCUCAGGGGCCGUCCAAGUCUCUCCCGGAGGCGAGGGCUCACCAAUCUGCUGGGACCCGGAGAGCAUUGGAGUGAUCCAAAGGCCCAGUAAACUGGCUAAU
rnacentral:lncRNA from 1 species